ensembl:lncRNA
ACUCCUCCUAGAGAUUUAUUCAGAUCAACACCAAACUUUGUCUGCCUAAUCUAAAGGCCUUUGCGAUGUUAAAUUGCGAAGAUCUUGAGGUUUCGUUUAAGGGCGUGUCUGUGGCGGCCUUACAAAUUUCGAUGUUUCGCCAUGAGAAAGGAAGUUGCUAUAACUCAGACAUACAAUGUCCAAUCUGCCCCAAACUUCACAUGUUUGAGAAGACUCCUGACCUGAAUAUAUCUACAUGCCAAUAUUCAGAUAUCGCUAUAGCGCAACAGGAAGUGACAUGUUUUACGCCGUAACAAACUACUCCUAGAAAUUUUAUGACAUUUUAUAAUUUUUUUUUUUGGUCAGUCUAAUCUAAAGGCCUUUGCGAUGUUAAAUUGUGAACAUCUUGAGGUUUCAUUAAAGGGUGUGGCCAUGGCGCCGUGACAAAGUUCGAUGUCUCGCCAUGGGAAUAGAAGUUGUUGUAACUCAGGCAUAAGAUGUCCGAUCUUCCCCAAACUUCACAUGUUCGAAAAGAGUCUUGGCCUGAACACAUCUGAAGGUCAUUAUUCCACUAUAAUCAUAGCGCCACCUGCUGACAACAGAAAAUGGCUUGUUUUACACUAACUUAAACAUGCAAUGUCCAAUCUGCACCAAACUUCAAAUAUUUGAUAAGAGUCAUGGCCUGAAGAUAUCUAAAGGCCAAUGUUCAGUUAUAAUCAUAGCGCCACCUGUUGGCAAUAGGACACAACAUGCUUUAUACUAACUCAAACAUUCCAUGUUCAAUCUGCACUAAAUUUCAUAUGCUUGAUAAAAGUGCUGGACUGAAGAAAUCUACAUGACAAAAUCCAGUUAUAGUCAUAGCGCCACCAGCUGGCAGCAGGAAGAUUGGCACAUAUAAAUGACUUUGACAUAUUUCCUCUUAUAUUUACCACAUUAAACGCAUAUUUCUCGCCGUUCGCUGUU